ncrna:unclassified sequences S15-Flavobacteria ribosomal protein leader
UACUUUUGCAACCUUGAUUAUCAAAAUGGUAAUCAGUACAUAAAAAUCAUUUUAAUAAUAUUGGCAUG